rnacentral:lncRNA from 1 species
UGUGCCUGCCCUCAAGGAGCCUGCACUACACUUGGAGAUAUAUACAGAAACCUGUUGAGGGCUAACUUAGGUUGGCAAGGCCCCCAGUGGCCAAGGCAUGAGCCUGGAUGCCCUGCAAAUUGAGUACGUGUUAGGGAUGGGGGCCAUUCUUUAUAGUUUGACUCUGGAGAGCUAGGACCACCUUUCCCAGCCUCAGGGGUGCACAUCCUCAGGAGCUGCCUACCUCCAGAUAUUGUAAGUCCAUGCAGAAGAGGAAGGGCCCAGCUGGGGCACCUCUUGGUUGAGGAAUGAGUAUGUGACAUUUUCAUGUGGGCACAUUUUGAUACUACUUUAAAAAUAGACCAAGCACAGUGGCUCACACCUGUAAUUCCAGCACUUCGGGACGCUGAGAGAGGUGGAUCACCUGAGGUCAGGAGUUCGAGAUCAGCCUGGCCAACAUGGAGAAACCCCGCCUCUACUAAAAAUACAAAACAUUAGCUGGGUGUGGUGGCACACACCUGUAAUUCCAGCUACUCGGGAGGCAGAAGCAGGAGAAUCGCUUGAAUCCAGGAGGCGGAGGUUGCAGUAAGCCGAGAUCACGCCACUACACUCCAGCUUACACUGGACAUGAUGAGGAGGAGGAGGAUGAUGGUGGUGAUUAUGAUAGAAAUGGUGAUGGUGAUGAUGACAAUGGUGAUAGUAGGGAUGGUCUUGCUCUGUCGCAAUCAAUAAAUGAAUGCAUA